CCUACGGGAGGCAGCAGUGAGGAAUAUUGGUCAAUGGCCGCGAGGCUGAACCAGCCAAGUCGCGUGAGGGAAGACGGCUCUACGGGUUGUAAACUUCUUUUGUCCGGGAGCAAAGCCAGUCACGCGUGACUCUUUGAGAGUAUCCGAAGAAUAAGCAUCGGCUAACUCCGUGCCAGCAGCCGCGGUAAUACGGAGGAUGCGAGCGUUAUCCGGAUUUAUUGGGUUUAAAGGGUGCGUAGGCGGUCGAGAAAGUAAGCGGUAAAAUUGCGGGGCUCAACCCCGUACUGCCGUUGAAACUGCUUGGCGUGAGAGCAGGAGAGGUAGGCGGAAUGCGUGGUGUAGCGGUGAAAUGCAUAGAGAUCACACAGAACACCGAUUGCGAAGGCAGCAUACCGGCGUACAACUGACGCUCAUGCACGAAAGCGUGGGGAUCGAACAGGAUUAGAUACCCCAGUAGUC
rnacentral:rRNA from 1 species